GGCCAAGUGGCGGAAUGGCAGACGCACUCGAUUCAAAAUCGAGCGCCGCAAGGCGUGUGGGUUCGAGUCCCACCUUGGCCA
rnacentral:tRNA from 3 species